CUAAAAAUAUUUACAAAAAGAGUAAGUCAUGGGUAAAUGUGGGGCAAUAAUUUACAAGGCCUAGGCUAUGAUUUAUUUUAGCAGGUCUUUAGAUUUUUCACAGAGGAAAUUGUUUCCAACAGUGCCUUCCUGUAGAAUUCCAAAUAUUUUGAAAGAUAAUAUAACAAACACUAAUGUUUGAAAUUGGGAAAAUAUCAGAGCCAGCAGGAAGGAUGAUUAACACUCAUAAGAAUGGUACAGACAUUGCUGACACAGUUUUCACAGCUCUUUGAAAAGAGACAUGUCACCCUGCGGAUUUCAAACACAUCUAAGACAAUGAAAGCAUACAGAGCCAGCAAAACCAAACACAGAAAAGGAAGACUAUAUAUGUAGUGACAUUUGAGAACAAAACAUUUCUCCAAAUACAGUGCUUCACAUUCAGGGCCCUCAAAGAAGAUUAUAAAACCAGUCAGGUGGCCACAUUAGUACUGACCACACUGGGAUUAGGAUCUUGAUAAGUAGUUUGGGGGUUUCUUCCCUGAACAUUACUCGAUCAAUUUGGUGCUCCAAUCACAAGAUACUGGUAUUGAUUUCUUACACAAUGGCAGAAACAUAAUGUCACAUAUUCCAUUUCUUUCUUUCUUUAUUUCCUUUUUUCUUCCUUCCUUUCCUUUCCCUCCCUUCCUUCCUUUUUUCCUUCCUCCUUCUUCUUCUUCCUCCUUCCUUUCCUCCCUCCCUCCCUCCUUCCUUCCCUCCCCACUCCCUAUCGCCGGCAGGCCUGCCUUCCUUCCUUCCUUCUUCCCUCCCUUCCUUCUUUCCCUCCUUCCUUCUUUUUCUUUAAGAUAGGGUCUCACUCUGUCUGUCACCCAGGCUGGAGUGCAGUGGUGUGAUCAAGGAUCACCUCAGGCUUGAUCUCCUGGGUUCAGGUGAUCCUCCCAUCUUGGACUCUUGGGUAUCUGGGACUAGAGGUGCACACCACCACACCCACAUAAUUUUUUCUAUUCUUUGUAUAGACGGGUUUCGCCACAUUGCCCAGGCUGGUCAUGAACACAUAUUCCACUUUCUAAAUUUACCCCAUAUACUCUACAGCCUAUGCUUUACUUCCUAAGAGUACUGCCUAGUCACACUGGUUAAUUUCCAUUGCUGAAAAUCAUCUUCAAUGCCUCCUCUUACUCAAGUAAUAUGAAU
rnacentral:lncRNA from 1 species